rnacentral:rRNA from 1 species
CUACACAUGCAAGUCGAGCGGAAACGAAGAGGUGCUUGCACCUCUGGCGUCGAGCGGCGGACGGGUGAGUAAUGCUUGGGAAUAUGCCUUAUGGUGGGGGACAACAGUUGGAAACGACUGCUAAUACCGCAUGAUGUCUACGGACCAAAGUGGGGGACCUUCGGGCCUCACGCCAUAAGAUUAGCCCAAGUGGGAUUAGCUAGUUGGUGAGGUAAUGGCUCACCAAGGCGACGAUCCCUAGCUGGUUUGAGAGGAUGAUCAGCCACACUGGGACUGAGACACGGCCCAGACUCCUACGGGAGGCAGCAGUGGGGAAUAUUGCACAAUGGGCGCAAGCCUGAUGCAGCCAUGCCGCGUGUGUGAAGAAGGCCUUCGGGUUGUAAAGCACUUUCAGUAAGGAGGAAAGGUUAAGUGUUAAUAGCACUUAGCUGUGACGUUACUUACAGAAGAAGCACCGGCUAACUCCGUGCCAGCAGCCGCGGUAAUACGGAGGGUGCGAGCGUUAAUCGGAAUUACUGGGCGUAAAGCGUACGCAGGCGGUUUGUUAAGCGAGAUGUGAAAGCCCCGGGCUCAACCUGGGAACUGCAUUUCGAACUGGCAAACUAGAGUGUGAUAGAGGGUGGUAGAAUUUCAGGUGUAGCGGUGAAAUGCGUUAGAGAUCUGAAGGAAUACCGAUGGCGAAGGCAGCCACCUGGGUCAACACUGGACGCUCAUGUACGAAAAGCGUGGGGAGCAAACAGGAUUA